rnacentral:rRNA from 1 species
GAUGAACGCUGGCGGCGUGCUUAACACAUGCAAGUCGAACGAAGUAUAUUGGAAAGAGUUCUUCGGAACAAUUGAAUUUAUACUUAGUGGCGGACGGGUGAGUAACGCGUGGAUAACCUGCCUUACACUGGGGGACAACAGUUAGAAAUGACUGCUAAUACCGCAUAAGCGCACAGUACCGCAUGGUACGGUGUGAAAAACUCCGGUGGUGUAAGAUGGAUCCGCGUCUGAUUAGCUAGUUGGUGAGGUAAUGGCUCACCAAGGCGACGAUCAGUAGCCGGCCUGAGAGGGUGAACGGCCACAUUGGGACUGAGACACGGCCCAGACUCCUACGGGAGGCAGCAGUGGGGAAUAUUGCACAAUGGGCGAAAGCCUGAUGCAGCGACGCCGCGUGAGCGAAGAAGUAUUUCGGUAUGUAAAGCUCUAUCAGCAAGGAAGAUAAUGACGGUACUUGACUAAGAAGCCCCGGCUAACUACGUGCCAGCAGCCGCCGUAAUAC